CAGUAGCCGCGGUAAUACGGAGGGCGCGAGCGUUACCCGGAUUUACUGGGCGUAAAGGGCGUGUAGGCGGCCUGGGGCGUCCCAUGUGAAAGGCCACGGCUCAACCGUGGAGGAGCGUGGGAUACGCUCAGGCUAGAGGGUGGGAGAGGGUGGUGGAAUUCCCGGAGUAGCGGUGAAAUGCGCAGAUACCGGGAGGAACGCCGAUGGCGAAGGCAGCCACCUGGUCCACUUCUGACGCUGAGGCGCGAAAGCGUGGGGAGCAAACCGGAUUAGAUACCCCUGUAGUCCCUGUCUCUUAUAC
rnacentral:rRNA from 1 species